rnacentral:lncRNA from 12 species
CAUUUGUCCAAACCUACAGAAUGUACAACACCAGGAAUGAGCCAUUAAGUAAACUACGGACUUGAGGUAAUUAUGAUGGGUCAAUUUAAGUUCCUCAGUUGUAACAAAUGUGAUAAUCUGGCAGCAGAUGUUGAAAAUGGGGAACCCUGUGGAUGGGUAGGGCAGAGGGAAUGUGGAAAAUCGUAGUAUCUGCCUCUCAAUUUCGCCAUGAGCACAAAGCUACUCUUAAAAAAAAAAAAUGUCUUUAAAAAGCAACCCUAAGGGACCCAGGGUGGCUCAGUUGAUGAAGCAUCUGCCUUUGGCUCAGGUCAUGAUCCUGGGGUCAUGGAACCAAGCUCCACAUUGGGCCCCCUGUUCAGUGGGGAGUCUGCUUCUCCCUCUGCUCCACCCCUCCCCUUCUCUCUCUUUCUCUCUCUCUCUCUCUCUCUCUCUCUCUCUCAAUCUUUCUUUAAUAAAUAAAUAGCAACACUAAAUAAUUUCAAGCUUACUAGAAUAUGUGCUCUCACUUUUGAUUUGGAAAGCAUGAGCUGCAUGGCUGUUCUCCUUGACUCUUAGUCAUAUGUGCCCUGCUGCCUCCUUCAGAUGCCCUGCUCCCUGCCCUCACCUAGGAGGUCCUCACGGAGCUUCCAAGGGGCUGGUGGAGCCUGAAAGAAGACACACCAAAGUAGCUGGAAGAAGCUGCCGAGGCCAUCAGGAAAGUGUGUCCCCAGACUUCUGGACAAGAACACAGGUUAUGCUGCACCUGACCAAAGGGACCAUGCCUGGUGAGACAGAGGUCACCAUCGAAAACAAAAGAAGGAAACAGAUCCAGGAGGUCAAGCUAACAUGCUCCCUACUGGGCAAAACCAGGGAAAAGCCUAAGGACCACUAG